UCAGGAUGUAGCUUAUUUUAAAGCUAAUUAUUUACAUUAAUUUGAAAAUUAUAAUAUUCUUUCUG
rnacentral:tRNA from 1 species